rnacentral:rRNA from 1 species
GGGGGGGCAUGGCGGUGCUACACAUGCAGUCGUACGAGAAAGCUUCUGCUUGCAGGGGCGAGUAAAGUGGCGCACGGGUCAUUAACGCGUGGGUAAUCUACCCUUGAAUUGGGGAUAACAUGUGCGUAAGCGAUGCUAAUACCGGAUAAUAUCCAUAUUUUUUCGGAUUUAUGGAUCAAAGGUGGCCUCUUCUUGAAAGCUACUGUUUGAGGAUGAGCCCGCGUCCCAUUAGCUUGUUGGUAGGGUAACGGCCUACCAAGGCAACUAUGGGUAGCUGGUCUGAGAGGAUGAUCAGCCACACUGGAACUGACACACGGUCCAGACUCCUACGGGAGGCAGCAGUGAGGAAUUUUGCGCAAUGGGGGAAACCCUGACGCAGCAACGCCGCGUGAGUGAUGAAGGCUUUCGGGUCGUAAAGCUCUGUCAAGUGGGAAGAAACUGUAAUUGGCUAAUAUCCAUUUGCACUGACGGUACCACUAAAGGAAGCACCGGCUAACUCCGUGCCAGCAGCCGCGGUAACACGGGGGGUGCAAGCGUUACUCGGAAUCAUUGGGCGUAAAGGGCGCGCAGGCGGCCUGGUUAGUCAGAUGUGAAAGCCCGGGGCUCAACCCCGGAAGUGCAUUUGAUACUGCCAGGCUUGAGUAUGGGAGAGGAAAGUGGAAUUCCUGGUGUAGAGGUGAAAUUCGUAGAUAUCAGGAGGAACACCGGUGGCGAAGGCGACUUUCUGGACCAAUACUGACGCUGAGGCGCGAAGGCGUGGGGAGCAAACAGGAUUAGAUACCCUGGUAGUCCACGCAGUAAACGUUGUUCACUAGGUGUAGCGGGUAUUGACCCCUGCUGUGCCCCAGCUAACGCAUUAAGUGAACCGCCGGGGGAGUACGGCCGCAAGGGUAAAAUUCAAAUGAAUUGACG